UGUCCAGUAGCACCUUAGAGACCAACUAAGUUUGUGCUUGGUAUAAGCUUUCUUGUGUAUGCACACUUCUUAGUUGGUCUCUAAGGUGCUGCUGGACA